CUACAGCUUCAGAAAAAGUGAUUUUUAGUGUAAACGUAGCUGUUCUAUUAAACUUUACUUCGACGAAAAAUUUGACCGAUAAAAACGAAACAUGAACCUUUAAGUGAAAAAGUGAUGGUAUCUGUAAAGGUGAUGGAAUGGUAUAAACGAUUUCCUUAUUUUUUCCUGUAAUCGUAAAAAUUAUCUCGAACCGUUAACCUUACCGUUCAAACUUAAACUUAAAAAAUGAGCGAAACGCCGGUCAGAGAUGCCAGGGAGUUUUACAAAACAUCAGUGAGUAAUUAUGAGAAUAUCUCUUAUAUUUUUUUUAUUCUGAUACGACUCUAUAGAGUUUCGAAGAAAAUAUAAUUUAUCUUGGAGGUAUGCCCAUACAUCGUACUAAACGAGGUUUAGUUCACGCUUUCCGCGAUGCGUUUAAAAUAGCUUUUAGUGAAAUUAAGCGAGUUAUUACGAGUGAUUCUUUGCAAAUCCAUUGUGCAGAUAAUUACAAUUUUAUUCAAUUGUUGAUCCCUAAAACAUUCUUAAAUUACUACCCAUAAUCAUCCUGAUCAGAUUAAAUAUUUACCUUUAAAUUUUGCAUCUCAAUAUCUAAACAAAUAUUGAUAAAACAUUGAACCUGGCACCACUGAUGUAGACUUUGUUUUGGUUGUCAAACGUGAAGAACGAAAAAAAUUGCGGUCCAGCAAAUUUGUGCGCUAUUUCGCCGGAUUCGCGCGGAUCGUAAUUUUCAACACAGUCCGGGAGACGGAACGAAGUUUAUUCAGCAAUCGCAAUGUUCUGUGAGCGGUUAUGCUACAUCUGCCGCUAGUUCCAGUCAGGGACUAGACCGAUCUUUGAAGCGGCUGAAAGAAGAUGUAAAACGCUCUGGAAGAACUUUACGCCGAGAUCUGAAAGAUGUUCCGGAGGAAAUCCGUAUUAACCGUUCCGCUUCCAGCGCUCAAUCUUGACUGGUUAUUCCUUGUUGCGGUCACCUAGUUCCAGAAGACCUUCCCGAGGUGCUCUGGUUCAGGAGUAAUGGGAAACAUUGAACAGCAUGAACGCAGCAAUGGACAUUUCCCACUACAACGCCCUUCUUCGGGUGUAUAUGGAUAAUGAGCAACGGAAUUUCUGGCGGAUUUGCAGGCCAAGGGCGUUGAACCGAAUCGCGUCACCUUUCAGCGAUUAAUUUCGCGCUACUGCCAAGAGGGAGCAAACAAGACUCUGGAAUUCCUGCGAGAGCUGCUUCCAGUAAUUGAAUGCGUUUUCAACGCUGAGCCAGGAUAAUUUGUUUUACGCUACGUAUCGAUAUAGAGCGGCGCGGAAAAACGACAUUCAAUAAAAUGUUGCAAUUAGAAAACAUUUUCCAUUUUUAUCCGAAAAUCUCCCAUAUAAAUUAAAAAUAUUGCGUUUGUAUGCGUGCUCUUUUUACGAACGAUUCCUAAAACGGUUUGAAUAAUGUUGGAAUAAAGUAAAGUCAAAUCGUUACACAACCAUUGACGUAAGCGUUUAGGAAUGAGAGCUCCUCGAAAAAAACUAUAACGAUUACAAUCCGAUGAUCUAAAUACAUUUUCAGCAAUCGGUUUUUAAACCUAACAUGGACUGCAUGUAGAACAGUUCGUCCAUACAAGUGUUUUAACGGUUUUUAACAAUUACAUAACCUAACGACAUAUUAAAAAUACUGUGAAUUUGGAAUUCACGAUUUAACUAAUGUAUUUCACGGUUUGAAUAAUCGUUUGCUAAACGUUUUU